AGUUCCCUGCUGUGCGCGCGUUUGACAAGAUAAAGCUUGAGCCAACACUAUUAAAAAAGGGAACCCUUAUUGAGGCGCGUAUUGCAGGACCCGGUUAGUUCGGGUGAACAUGAAGCGCCGCAGCGGGUGCCCACCUUGAAAAAAAGGUUCAAAAGCUUUGACUUGUUCACACGGCACAGCGGGGUUUGU
rnacentral:other from 1 species